rnacentral:misc_RNA from 1 species
AUGAAGAACGCAGUGAAAUGCGAUAAGUAAUGUGAAUUGCAGAAUUCAGUGAAUCAUCGAGUCUUUGAACGCACAUUGCGCCCCCUGGUAUUCCGGGGGGCAUGCCUGUCCGAGCGUCAUUGCUGCCCUCAAGCACGGCUUGUGUGUUGGGCCUCCGUCCUCCUCCCGGGGGACGGGCCCGAAAGGCAGCGGCGGCACCGCGUCCGGUCCUCGAGCGUAUGGGGCUUCGUCACCCGCUCUUGUAGGCCCGGCCGGCGCUUGCCGACACAUCAAUCUUUUUUCCAGGUUGACCUCGGAUCAGGUAGGGAUACCCGCUGAACUUAAGCAUAUCAAUAAGCGGAGGA